AUAAGUUAUGAAUGAGGUUCAAGUUUAAUAACGUAAAUAAAUAGAACAAACGCUUUCGUUUAACUAUUGCAAAUUUCAACAACUUUCUCCACUUGUGCACCUGCAUGUUGCUUAUUCUUUCCUUUCUGUUAAGAUUAAGACCAGUUCAAGAUACGCUGCCAUGCAAUGCCCCCAUUUUACAAUUUUCACCUUAAUGGUGAAAAGGAUGAUUGUUGCGGCAGUCUCCAAUAUAAUAGGCUGAUUUAAUAAAAGAACGAGAACGUCUCUUAACCACGGCGCGUGCAGUGCAGAUACCCAAAUAUGAUCAAAUUAGAGCAGAAUCUGGAAUAUUCCGAGCACCCUCCCGUCGUCACCUAAUCCUCAAGUCCUAUUGCUAAAUCUGCGUAGUGUUUGCAAGUGACAUCAAAAGGCACCAUGUUAUAGAAACUUAUUUAAAGUGAUUCAAUGGAAUGAAUCUUGACUCGCAGAGAACUUGAUGCGUGGUUUUGCAAUGGCAUGAAAGGAUUUAAGCACAAUAUCUGAAGCAACUUUAUCGAAGA